AUUGAACGCUAGCGGCAGGCUUAACACAUGCAAGUCGAGCGAGCGGCGGACGGGUGAGUAAUGUAUGGGAACAUGCCGGCUGGAGGGGGAUAACUACUGGACACGAUGGAUAAUACCGCAUACCAUCAGAUGUACCCAGAUGGGAUUAGCUAGUAGGUGGGGUAAGGUCUCACCUCGGCGACGAUCCCUAGAUGGGCUGGGAGGAUGACCAGCCACACUGGAAUGGAGCUACGGCCCAGACCCCUACGGGAGGCAGCAGUGGGGAAUAUUACACAAUGGGCGCGAGCCUGAUGUAGCCAUGCCGCGUGUAUGAAGAAGGCCUUCGGGUUGUAAUGCUCUGUCAGUGUUGAGUCGUUACUCGCAGAAGAAGCACCGGCUAACUCCGUGCCAGCAGCCGCGGUAAUUC
rnacentral:rRNA from 1 species